GACCACUGACCAAACUCCACUCCAAGCAGUCCCGAGAGCUGCUCUUCCCCUUGCCCACGGAUGCCUCCGCUCAGAUCCCAGAUCCGCUGGGAUCGCGCCGAAACUUUUGUGCCGGAGCAGAGCACUCAUACAAGCACAGAGUGGAUUUUGCACGUUUCAACCUUAACCUUAACCAGCAGCUCCCUUUCUUCACGUGGAAUGGGAAGGACUAUCAGGAAUAACCAGGAGCGUGCAGGGUGCCUGAAGAGCCUGUCUUGUCCCCAGUGUCCUCAAUUGCCAGAGCCCAGCAGGUGCCAGAGGGGUAAGUGGGAGUACUCAGGAGCUCCACGUCCACCAGUUUCACAGCCCUGCAGCCUGUGGCCACCACAGCACUCUCUGAUGCUGCCCAACCAUCCUGUCUACUGCCACACAAACAAAACCCACAGGAGAAAGCAAGGUAUGGGAACAUCGGAGCUUUCUACAUGUAAGGGGACAAGGGGAGGGGAUCACAUGUCUCCACAGUCCCAUAAACCCAUGUCCAGGACACUGCAGUGCCAGCUGCCUGGCUCCUGGCUAACAGACAACAUGGCAAACUGCUAUUUAGCCUUUGUCUCCAAGACAGGAUAACAAUAUUAUUUGUCCCUUUGCAUUCCUGCAAGGCCCAGUGCCGUUGGCCUCUUGUAUCAUAAAGAAAUUAAAAUAUAUUAUGACCAUAAACUACAUCAUUUGAGGAAAUGAACCAUUUCUAGUAAACGUAUCAUGGGACGCUGAAGCCAUGAACUUUUCUAAAUCAAUCGCCAGCUGAUAAAGUGCGCAGGUAUUUGCUGGGAGCAGCUCACAGCACGUGGCUCCCAGCACGGCGCUGACGUGGGGAGCUCGUCCCGCGGGAUGGUGGCUCAGGGUACAGGCUGUCCUAGGAGGCACAAACCCCACCACCGGCACAAGCCCUGCUUGGGGCGGGAGAAUUGCUCAAGCAGGAGGAGCCCCAGGAUUUUUGCUGUGCCCCGGGGUCGUGCCAGGGCUGGGGUGGUGUUUUGUGGAUGAGGCUUCACGAGGCGCAGCGCUCCCAGGGCUGGGGAUGCUCGAAACAUGUCUGAGUGCCUGCAAACCCCCCCACAGCACCCUGAGCCCAGUCAGCAUCACCCCUGCCUCACCUCCGUGCCUAGGGCCCCCGGGCUGAGCACGGAGAUGGCCAGUGGGGGACCUGCACUGGAGGUGGCCACAGAGGGGGACCCAGAAAACCUUUCUAGUAAAAGCUCUAUGCAACCGGCAAGGCUUGCAUUGAAACUGUUUUUCUCUUAGUUGCUUUUAAGCUUUCCUCAUGAGGGCUGGGUAAGUCCUGCUGGAGACCUCUUUGGCUAAGGAGCAGCAGCAAACAGGGCAGGACCAGGGCAGGAUCCGUCCCCGGGCAGCAGUGCCAGACACGGGGAACUGGGCUGAGAACAACCAGUUCGUUUCCCAAAUGGUGUGGGCAGUCACCGGGGUAUCUGUGGGAUGCCUGCCCGGCUCCACCACCUCUUUCCUCAGGGAGCUGCAGCACCCACUCCACCGUGCCACCCGCAUCGGGAUGUCUCUCUCGAGAGCCCCAGAACCUAGCCUGGGGACGCUAGGCAUCGCCACCCACAAACCUGGCACGUUCAUGCUGCACAAAGCCAAACAGAAACCAGAGACUUGGGGGUCCCUUCAUAUGGGGACCAGCAAUAGGUCUGUGGGGGAUGAGCCUAUUUCAGCUGCUCUGAAGCCCCCCUGGACACCCCAUGGUGGGGUUGCCGAUGCCCUUCAUUCACAGAACCUCUGCAGCGCUGGCUACGCCGCUACUUCUCUCCCUGGUGCGAGUGCCAGGGGGAGCACGGGGGGUACCUGGUGUUUCCUGGAGCAGGUCGUAUCUGCUGCCAUUCAUCUUCCAGGGGCGCUCAGCUCUGCGGGCAGAACUAGGGGAGUCUCGCCCUCGGAUGGGGCCGUGCAGCUGGCAAGACCCCCGCGGGCUGCGGGGCAGGAGCCAUGCCCGGGAGCUGGCUGUGGUGCGGCGGCAGGGACCAGCUAAUCCCUUAAUGCUGGUCACAAUGAGAUUUGAUGGGGAGCAGGAGUUUUUGCCGCAGAGACACAGGUUUUAAAGGGUUAUGGCCACUACCCGGAGGGGAAUUAUAAGGUGGCUCCAGGUUUGUGGCCCGGUGCCCGGCAGUGAUGCCUGCUGCUUUCUGGGCCACCUUUCUGAGGUGCCCUCACCCUGGCCUCUGGCCUGUCGCUGCAUUUCUGUGGGGCAGGGGGUGCCUGACUGCACAUGCAGCUCUAAGAGGCUGCUCCAGAAAAUGUGCCUUGAUGUGUGUAACAGCGGGAGCGGGUCAGACUCCCUCUCCGGGGAGAGGCUGGCCACUUUCACUUUAAAAUGUUUCUAUAUAAAUACCCAGAACACCAUAUCCUUGAGAAACAACCUUUGUCUCCCCUCCCAGCUGCCAUCACGACAUGCAGGGCCGGGAGAAGCGAGGACGGAGCAGGGUAGCAGUGGGGAGCGGCACACGUGGUGCUCCCCAUCUUUGGGCAGCCCUGGGCUUUGUCCCCUGCAGAGCCCGCAGAGCAUCUCCAAUGGUUCAAACCACCCUGGGGCAUCGCUGCUGGAGCCUGCCGGUGGCUCCCCAGGCACCUGCCUGCUCUGUGCCAACGCCCUCCUCUCCCAGGGCAACUGGGACCUGGAAAACUCUCAGGAUUGAGAUUUCUUAAUCGAUUGUGCACAUUGGUGCUGUCAAUGGGGAAUCCAGGAGCCUCCACGUCCCAGAGAGCCCGAGAUUUCGGGUAGUGCCUUGCAGGCAAGCCCAGCAGGAAGAAAAGGGAUUUUGCAACUGCCAGGCUACAAAAAAACCCUCUCUGCCACCAAAGCACUCUCUGCUUUUUUUUGGGGAGAUGAAGCUGCUGUGACAUUCUCAUGUCGACUCAUUUGGCCCCGGUCCAGAAGGGAGCACAGAGGCCACUGAGCACCAAGAUUUUUCUCCUGUGCGGGGAGUGAUGUGCUGGCGUGUGUGGCCAUGCUUAGCCAGGAGGAGGGAAAUUCAGUGAGGGAUUAGAGUGGCACUUCCCUGGGUUUUCACAGGCCCGGAGCAAUGAAUUCAAUGCUGUGAGGGAGAACAGGACACCUUUGCAAUGCAGCCCCGUGCUGCACGGCCGUGAUCCCGACCAGGGCGGGGAGUGAGUGUGGCCGUGCUCAGCCUCUGUGCCUGGAGGAACUGCCUGCGGGGCCAAGCCCAUCUGAAACACCCAUUUUCCUGCACUUUCCUUCCUCCUUGGAUGGCGUUCCUCCUGCCAAGUUCGCCUCUGCUUUUGUUGUGCCAAGGAGUAGAGAGUUCGUUCCUGCCCUCCAGAGAUGUCGGACCCCAAGCCCUGUCUUGAAGGCACGAGUCUAAUGGAGCAAAACCAUUCCGAAACAGUUCCCGUCCUGUCUCCGUGAGUCUCCGCUCCCAGCCCACGCUGCUGGUGUUCAUACGAAUUAGUUUGGAGCACACAGGGCUGCCAGCAGCUUUCAGAAGGCUCCUGAUGGAUCAGGGGUGGGAAAUGACCCAGCUGGUCCGUACCUCUGCUCCGUGCCCUGGAAGGGCUGUGCUGGUGGCGGGGGCAGAUGCCCAGUGUGACCAGGCAGGGCCAGGAGAAGCAUCAAGGACAGGACUGGCUCUGAACUGGGCAUAACCCCAUGACACAUCCCUUCACCACUCUGUUUCCUCAUUGGCUUUAACGCCUGUAACAGGGAAACACACCCAGGUCAACAGAGGUUUCUCCCAGUCGGUGGCAGUCCCCGGUCACACACCCAUGGACGAGCCAUGGCAGCACCCGGCUCUGCUUCCACCAGGGUGUCCAUGCGGUAGCAAAGCCACCACCUCCAUCCCACCACCAUUUAGUCCUUGAAGGCAGCAGACUCUGGGCAGGGGAGCAGCCAGGGCUGUGGGUCUGAAGCCCGGCUGCUUGCCACUCCUGCCUCCUUAUCCCGCCCUUCAUUUCCCGGUGCCACCUUUGCCCUGCCAGCGCCAGACUCUCUGCGUGGGCUGGAUCCCCCAGGCACCCAUCAGUGCCUUCUCUGCUCCUCCCUGCUGCGGCAUCUUGACCAGCGUGAGCCUGCCCGUCCUCAGAGCAUUACUUGAUCCUGCUCACGAGCGGUGGCGACUGCAAACAAGAGGCCACACAACUUGCUGGAUGGGGACCCACAACGCAGCAAGUUGGUUUUUUUCCAUGGGGUGGUUGCUCUUUUCUGCCUUCCACUGAGCCCCGCAGUGUUGCCCUGUCCAUUAACCUGACACCCUGCCCAGCCUCGCAGUCUGUAGCCAAAUUUCCUUGGGCGACAUUGUCACCAGUGAAUCCUCUUCCCAGGCUGGGCUGUUGCUUUUCACCGGGGGUGGUGGGGUGGAGCCUGCCAUCCUGAUGGACAUGAUGGGUGGGAUGCAGGACUUGUCUGGUCGGCUGGAAGCGGUGGGCAGGCUGGCACGCUGGAGAUGAGGAGCAGCAGCAGCUUUUAUCAUAGGGUGUCAAGGCUUUGGGGACAAAAUGACAAGCCUCCCCUAUGAACAGAGGGGGAGAGAAGUGGACGAGCGGGUCGGGAGGAGCCGGGCUCUGCAGCCUCCACGAACGGUGCUGGGCCAUAGAACGGUGCUGGGCCAUAAACGCAGCGCGGUGGCUGUCGUUUAUGUGUCAGCAAACACAUCGAGUGGGCUCGACUAUUGAUUCUGACUGCAUAAAAGCGUGUUGUGGCACUUGUUCAGGUUUGCGCAGGUUUUACAGCUCUUGUUCUGAGAAGUGCCCAUGUAUUUGGUUUUGCUCCUUCCUUCAGGUCUAUCUGUUGACAUUGGCUCUCUUAACCAGAACGUUGGGCCAUGCCAGGAAGCUGAGUGUAUGGCUCUCCCCGUGUUUCCCACUUUCCCAGGAGUUAUCUCCUAUAAAAUCUCACACACGCCCAUGGCCAGGGCAGGUUUCUGGUGCAGAGGCAAGUGAAAGGUGCCUGCUGGUCCAACGUUGGUGGGAUCGGGUGCCCCGUACUUGGUGGCAGGAGCUGAGCCACCCAUCCUGAUGGAUGAGUUUGAGGGUGGAUGGGCAAAGCCAUGGGUAGGGUCCCUCUCCCAGAGAGGGAGAAGGUGUCAGAGCUCCCAGGGCAUCAUCACAGAGGAGAUCAUGGUGACACACAGCAGGUGGCGCAUGAUAUUACUCAUUCCCCAUCUCCAGUCCUCUUCCCAGUGGGAGAUGCCAGCACCAGCUGAGCCUGCAGGGACAUCUUGGUGCUGGCAUCUCAGAGGGCUUGAGCCCACAGUGAUGGUCCCCAUCUGCCUCUCAGCAACCGGAGCUCCUAGUACCACAGGGCCACAGGCAGAGUCUCUCCAAUGGCUGGAGCAUUUUGGGACAGAAAGUCUGGUUCAGCCAGAAAGUCUGGUUCAGCCAUGCAGACCCCCAGCGUUUUGGAGCCAGGAUCCAUCUGCUUCCCGUCUGCUGGUGCCUUUCCAUGAGCCUCUCACUCUGCACGGAGCUGCUCCUCUUGCACGUUCGGUGCGUUAUCCAGAGCACGGCAUUAUGUUUUGAGGCAUGUAUUUCCUGAAGGGAUUUGAUGGGUAGUUGCUGUUGGUGCUCAGGCUGAAGCCUGGGCAGGAGCCGUUCCUGGGAGUGAUUGCUUCUGGGACCUGGCUUAGCUCGGAGGCCCCGGUGGGAAUGUGGUGCCUGUGCCCAGCGCAGGCGAGCAGAGCUGUCAGCCCUGGCUCCACGAUACAGCCACUACCUUGAAACUUGCCUUCCAUGAAAAUUCUGCAACAUUUGCCGUUUCCACAAAGAUUUCUGCCAGAAACCUUGUUUGCUUGAAUAUUUGAGGAAAGCAAACAGAGAAGGAACCUGAACACAAACAGUCGCAGACCUUUUUUUGCAGUCUUUGCCCCCUUCUAACCCCAAGCCCACUGUCAGUGACACUUGCAGGUGUGUCCCCUGCCUGCCAUACCCCUUGGCUCUGCCAUGUGUGCUGCCUUGUCCCCUGCACUGGCCUUGGCCCUGCUGCAAAUAUUGUUGUAUUUAAAGGAAAAUCGUCCAGAGCUUGCUGUCUGCCGGACCACCACCACCACUCACCACCCCUUGCACUCACUUUAAAGAAAAUCAGUUUUUAGUGCCGUUUAAGAAAUGUCGGCGGAAGAAUAACCGCGCACGUCUGACUUGCAGACCUACCCCUGCCCUGCGGAGCUCAAAAUAGCUCUUGGGCGCUCCUCAAGCCUUCCCCAGCCUCGCGCUGCUCGCCUCCCAGCGCUGGAGCUCGCUGCCGGCUGAGAGCAGCCCUCUGUGCUCACUCCCCCGUAUAAAAAUCCCUUCGGGUUUUCCAGCGCGGCCAGAGGUGAGGGUGUGCUGCUGGCCAGACGAGCGGCAGGGGUGAGGCGGCCGCCCUGGCGAGGUGAAGUCGCAGCCCUGCGGGGAAGCACAGCUGCCCUGCAACACCCCAGCAGCAGCCCUGCGGCCCCCCACGCCAUGGGGAGCAUCCCAAGCUCUUGCCCGGGGCUCUUCCCUCCACCAAGCACCAGCAAACAGCACUCGGGACCAGGCCACGGCAGCUAAAGCAGUGAUUGUCCCUUUUCACCGCAUCUAAAUACCAGUGCUUAUUCCUGGGUGCAGCAAGACCCUGCUCAGCUGUUUCUUGCCCCGGUAAGUGCUGACCCAGCCACCCCCAACAACUGACGCGGACGGUCCUAACACCCACCCAUCCCGACAGCCUCUGGGCCACGGACACAGAGCCCAAGGAGUAAUCAGAGGAAUUAAAUAGCAGCUGACAUGAAAAAUCGAGGGGGGAAAGCUCAGUUUGGGCCGUAUCUAGGGGAAAGCUAUAAAAAAUUAGACCCAUUUGGCAAUGAAAAAUAAUUGCUUUGCAGUGAAAAAUAAAAAUACUUAGAAAUUCUGCCCCCUUUUAUGUUCUUCAGCUGAAACUAUUCACCACAUCUGACCAAAAAGCCUGAGCAGCUCUGACGUCUUGCAUUUUUCAGCGCAUUUCCAAAGCUGCUUUAUGGAGCCGGCCCCGAUCAUGCGCCAGCCCCUGCUGUAACCACCGGCCCCGGGAAUCCCCGGCUCCAAGAGCUGUGCCCGAAAUACGAAGGAGCGGUGCUGCCUGUGCUGGGAUUGAGCGUAAUUGCCUGGAUUGUGCCCAAGUUUCAUCAGGAGGAUAAAGAUGGAGCUGGGGGCUUGUCGCCUCCUCGCUGCCUGGGAGGGGCCUGUCCCCUUGCCCCCUCUCCAUCCCCUACCCUCUCACACACCCGUUUGCAGCCUCCUGCGGGGAUUUUGCACCAGCACACCCGGAGGAGCCCUUUCCAGCUCACAGCCCAUCCUCAGCGGGUGCAGAUGAGGCACAAGUCAGUCCUUGCGAGCUCGGUGGGUCAGGAGCCAUGUCCCCCGCAGCAGCAGAGAGGGAGAGGCGUCCCUUCCUGCACAACGCCUGCCUUGGGGCGUCAGCCUGGAGGAUGCUCAGCACCUGCUUCUGCUGGGCCAGCCCGCAGGGGUGUCCUCGCUCCGGGACCUGACCCUCUGUACGUCGCAGAGGCAUCAAGCCUUCCUUCUACCCGCCCACGAGCAGCCUUCAUCGCGUGGCUCCUUGCACAUCGUCUGAGCAGCACCAGCUGGACACAAAACCACAACCUGCACUGAACAGACCAAAAACUCGGCGUUUUUGUGAGCCUGGCUUUAUGCGAGGCCCUGUCCUGCUGCUGGCUCCUGCGGCUCAGAGGUGAUGGGAGCUCCUCCAGAGCCCCGGCUGCUGUGGGCCUGGGACGGACAAAUGGGUGACCCACUAAAAAUGGGUAAAACUCAGCAUUUCGUAACUGUUUGACUGUAGCUCCCUACUCCAGCGCGGCCCAGCAACACUAUUGCAGAUCCUAUGCAACACCUGUAUGUUUCCAUCGCAAUGGACCAUGGACCCACCAAAAUGCCGAUGAGCCCCGCGUCUGGCCGUGGCUCACCGUGGGGCCAAAAAAUCAAGUGAACUGGAGAGUACUGAAGUG